rnacentral:tRNA from 1 species
UCUAAUAUGGCAGAUUAGUGCAAUGAAUUUAAGCUUCAUAUAUAAAGAUAAUUAUCUUUUAUUAGAA